UCGAGGAUCUUCGGCAAUGGGCGCAAGCCUGACCGAGCGACGCCGCGUGGACGAUGAAGGCCUUCGGGUUGUAAAGUCCUUUAGUGGGGGAGGAAGGCGCAAGCUUGACCUAUCCCAAGAAUAAGCACGGGCUAAGUUCGUGCCAGCAGCCGCGGUAAGACGAACCGUGCGAACGUUGUUCGGAAUCACUGGGCUUAAAGGGCGCGUAGGCGGCUUGCCAAGUCCGGGGUGAAAUCCUCCAGCUUAACUGGAGAAGUGCCUUGGAUACUGGCGAGCUCGAGUGAGGUAGGGGUGAUGGGAACUUCCGGUGGAGCGGUGAAAUGCGUUGAUAUCGGAAGGAACGCCGGUGGCGAAAGCGCAUCACUGGACCUCUUCUGACGCUGAGGCGCGAAAGCUAGGGGAGCAAACGGGAUUAGAUACCCCGGUAGUCC
rnacentral:rRNA from 1 species